GACGAACGCUGGCGGCGUGCUUAACACAUGCAAGUCGAACGGAAAGGCCCUGCUUUUGUGGGGUGCUCGAGUGGCGAACGGGUGGGUAACACGUGAGUAACCUGCCCUUGACUUUGGGAUAACUUCAGGAAACUGGGGCUAAUACCGGAUAGGAGCUCCUGCUGCAUGGUGGGGGUUGGAAAGUUUCGGCGGUUGGGGAUGGACUCGCGGCUUAUCAGCUUGUUGGUGGGGUAGUGGCUUACCAAGGCUUUGACGGGUAGCCGGCCUGAGAGGGUGACCGGCCACAUUGGGACUGAGAUACGGCCCAGACUCCUACGGGAGGCAGCAGUGGGGAAUAUUGCACAAUGGGCGGAAGCCUGAUGCAGCAACGCCGCGUGCGGGAUGACGGCCUUCGGGUUGUAAACCGCUUUCGCCUGUGACGAAGCGUGAGUGACGGUAAUGGGUAAAGAAGCGCCGGCUAACUACGUGCCAGCAGCCGCGGUGAUACGUAGGGUGCGAGCGUUGUCCGGAUUUAUUGGGCGUAAAGGGCUCGUAGGUGGUUGAUCGCGUCGGAAGUGUAAUCUUGGGGCUUAACCCUGAGCGUGCUUUCGAUACGGGUUGACUUGAGGAAGGUAGGGGAGAAUGGAAUUCCUGGUGGAGCGGUGGAAUGCGCAGAUAUCAGGAGGAACACCAGUGGCGAAGGCGGUUCUCUGGGCCUUUCCUGACGCUGAGGAGCGAAAGCGUGGGGAGCGAACAGGCUUAGAUACCCUGGUAGUCCACGCUGUAAACGGUGGGUACUAGGUGUGGGGUCCAUUCCACGGGUUCCGUGCCGUAGCUAACGCUUUAAGUACCCCGCCUGGGGAGUACGGCCGCAAGGCUAAAACUCAAAGGAAUUGACGGGGCCCCGCACAAGCGGCGGAGCAUGCGGAUUAAUUCGAUGCAACGCGUAGAACCUUACCUGGGUUUGACAUGGAUCGGGAGUGCUCAGAGAUGGGUGUGCCUCUUUUGGGGUCGGUUCACAGGUGGUGCAUGGCUGUCGUCAGCUCGUGUCGUGAGAUGUUGGGUUAAGUCCCGCAACGAGCGCAACCCUUGUUCACUGUUGCCAGCACGUUAUGGUGGGGACUCAGUGGAGACCGCCGGGGUCAACUCGGAGGAAGGUGGGGAUGACGUCAAGUCAUCAUGCCCCUUAUGUCCAGGGCUUCACGCAUGCUACAAUGGCUGGUACAGAGAGUGGCGAGCCUGUGAGGGUGAGCGAAUCUCGGAAAGCCGGUCUCAGUUCGGAUUGGGGUCUGCAACUCGACCUCAUGAAGUCGGAGUCGCUAGUAAUCGCAGAUCAGCAACGCUGCGGUGAAUACGUUCCCGGG
rnacentral:rRNA from 1 species